rnacentral:ncRNA from 2 species
AAUCGCCGGGGAUGGGGAUGGAUGCGGGUCCCCCGGCGGCACCCCUAGACCCCUUCCCCCUUGGUAGCCGCGCCCCGAGGUUCCGGUCCUCGCGCCCAGGGUCUGUCGCGGGGUCCGCUGGGCCUCUUGCCGCCGACUACCCCGUCAGCGAUGAGGAAACUGAGGCUCAGAGAGGUCACAUGGCUUGCUCGAGGCCCCCCAGCCAGUGUGAACCCACAUCCCUGCCCCCAGGGCCACCUGCAGGACGCCGACACCUACCCCUCAGCAGACGCCGGAGAGAAAUGAGUAGCAACAAAGAGCAGCGGUCAGCAGUGUUCGUGAUCCUCUUUGCCCUCAUCACCAUCCUCAUCCUCUACAGCUCCAACAGUGCCAAUGAGGUCUUCCAUUACGGCUCCCUGCGGGGCCGUAGCCGCCGACCUGUCAACCUCAAGAAGUGGAGCAUCACUGACGGCUAUGUCCCCAUUCU